GCAAAAUCGUACUUGGUGCCCUUGUUCUCAGUUGUGAUCUAUCGAUUUAUUUCACCUAUGUUAUAACGGGGCUUUUUAAAAAUUCGCUUAAACCGAUGAUAAAUGUCUCUAGAAGAGAUUUAAUAAAAACGAGAAAAGACGUUGCGUUUCAGCGAAAGACAGUAAAACCCGAUCGUCGAAGUGCGACGCAGUCAGAACGAACAAAGGCUCCACCUCAUUGUGCCAUCGCCCUAUUAAGUAUCACUUACUGCUGGGGAAACAAUAAGCUGGCAAUCACCCCGAAUGGUAAUUGAUUUCCUGCUAGUUUUCUUUUUCUCACGGACGGUCGGCAAUAAGAAACGAUGAAUGAACGGUCUGUAAGUGGGAGUUUAAUGGAACCCGCUGAAUCAGGCGUCAACGACAAAUGCAACUUGAUACGCAGUCGGCGAGUAUCAACUAUCGAAACUGCAAGAGGAAAACAGAUAACUUCAACGCGCAUCAGCGUAAUUCAUGGUGCCGCUGUUACACUCCACCUAACCGAUAUAGCGGAUGGAUAAAAGAGACGGACACAAGGCCUUCUGCACCUCAACAUCAGCAGAUCCAUUGUGCUUCUCUAUUUUUUAUAACUCAUUGACCAGCUUCAGGUUGUUAAUCAUCUUCCCUAGGCUUGCCAGCGGUAUAUUGGUCAUCAGAAAUGAUCAUGUCGGAGAAAAACGGGCGUGCACUUUUCAAGUCAAAAAACUUAAAUCACAGUGACACGUAGUUUAAAAAAGAAAGAAAAGAGAAACCAUGAUCAAUAGAAAUUUUGGUACAGGGCUGCAGGUGUUAUUUUCGAAAAAUAAAUUAGGUAGAAACGCCCUCGCACAAGAUUAACUUAGAUUAUCCUCUCCUAAUUUAUAACCGACCCCAUUUACUCCACAUCAGCCACACUCCACUAAUCCGCCGCCGGCCCCUCGUCAAAUUUGUCAACCGGCAAUGGCACCCUUUACAACUCCCUUUGAUGCCAAAUCGAUACAUAAUGGGUCCAAAACACCUGAUACAAACGCACUGUCUUCCAAUUUUCACAAACAAUCCUGCGAACUUCUCAUCAUCUUGCACUCUCUCUCACUCUCUCUCUCUCUCUCUCUCUCUCUCUCUCUCUCUCUCUCUCUCACACACACACACACACACCUGAUGCUUUCCUAACGAUGUAAAUGCCUACACCUUAUCCCUGUGAAUCUUAAUUCGUUACCCUGAAUAUUAACUGUAGAAGGACAAUCUUAUUGUCGACUUAACAUUAUUUACAUGAAAUAAAUGUAUACAUAAAUCGCAGAAUGUG